ensembl:rRNA 5S_rRNA 5S ribosomal RNA
GUCUGUGGCCCUACCACCCUGAACAUGGCUGGUCCUCUCUAAUCUUGGAAGCUAAGCAAAGUUAGGCCUGGUUAAUACUUGAAUGGGAGACUGCCUGGGAAUACCAGAUGCUGUUGCCU